rnacentral:rRNA from 1 species
GACGAACACUGGCGGCGUGCCUAACACAUGCAAGUCGAACGCGAUUUUCAAAGCAGUUUACUGCAAUGGAAUGAAAGUGGCGGACGGGUGAGUAACGCGUGGGUAACCUGGCCUAUGGAUGGGGAUAGCCUCGGGAAACCGGGAUUAAUACCGAAUAAAGUUAAGCGAUCACAUGAUCGUUUAACCAAAGAUUUAUCGCCAUAGGAUGGACACGCGUCCCAUUAGCAAGUUGGUGAGAUAACAGCUCACCAAGGCGACGAUGGGUAGCCGGCCUGAGAGGGCGAACGGCCACACUGGGACUGAGACACGGCCCAGACUCCUACGGGAGGCAGCAGUGGGGAAUAUUGCGCAAUGGGGGCAACCCUGACGCAGCAACGCCGCGUGAAUGAUGAAGGCUUUCGGGUCGUAAAGUUCUGUCAAAGGGGACGAAAAAAAUGACGGUACCCUUAGAGGAAGCCCCGGUUAACUACGUGCCAGCAGCCGCGGUAAAAC